AUUGCUUCUCAGCCUUUUGGUUAAGAUCAAGUGUAGUAUCUGUUCUGAUCAGUUUAAGAAUUAAGAAGUGGCAACUGAAAAUAUAUGGUGGUCCUGGAGGUGGCGCAGUGGAUAAAGCACUGGACUCUUAAGUAUGAGGUCCUGAGUUUGAUUCCUGACAGCACAUUUACAGAGUGAUUUCGGAUUCUUU
rfam:Erinaceus europaeus unplaced genomic scaffold scaffold00306, whole genome shotgun sequence